rnacentral:lncRNA from 1 species
GGUUUUGGCUCAGGGGUUGGGGCAGGGGUGGGCUUUACUCUUUGUGGGUUCGGAGACUUCGGGUGCGCAGGCAUUUCCCGGGCAUCGCGCCCCAGCCUGUGACAGAAUUGGAAGUGUUCCUCUGCCUGCUCGCCUGCGAGGGUUCUCCCUUCUCAGGACCCUGCUCUUCCUCCAGAGAGAUACCCAGGAGAAAAGGGAACAGCCAGUUUAUUCCUGAAAGCCAGGCCCCAGGUGAGUUGAGGUUCUCUUCGUUUUUCCUCAAAUGACUGAACUACGGAUGUCUUUGCCCCC